UACGUAGGGGGCAAGCGUUGUCCGGAAUCAUUGGGCGUAAAGAGCGCGUAGGCGGCCCUGUAAGUCCGCUGUGAAAGUCAAGGGCUCAACCCUUGAAUGCCGGUGGAUACUGCAGGGCUAGAGUCCGGAAGAGGCGAGUGGAAUUCCUGGUGUAGCGGUGAAAUGCGCAGAUAUCAGGAGGAACACCGAUGGCGAAGGCAGUGUCCUGGCGAGUGACUGACGCUGAGGUGCGAAAGCCAGGGGAGCGAACGGG
rnacentral:rRNA from 1 species